GGGAAUAUAGCUCAGGGGUAGAGUACUUGUCUAGCAUGCAAGGCCCUGGGUUCAACUCCCAGCUCU
rnacentral:tRNA from 1 species